GAUGAACGCUGGCGGCGUGCCUAACACAUGCAAGUCGAGCGGAGAUUAUUAGCAAUAGUAAUCUUAGCGGCGGACGGGUGAGUAACGCGUGGGUAACCUGCCUUGUACAGGGGGAUAACACAGGGAAACUUGUGCUAAUACCGAAUAACAUACUUGGGUGGCAUCACUUGAGUAUCAAAGGAGCAAUCCGGUAUAAGAUGGACCCGCGUCCAAUUAGCCAGUUGGUGGUGUAACGGACCACCAAGGCGACGAUUGGUAGCCGAACUGAGAGGUUGAUCGGCCACAUUGGGACUGAGACACGGCCCAGACUCCUACGGGAGGCAGCAGUGGGGAAUAUAGCGCAAUGGGGGAAACCCUGACGCAGCAACGCCGCGUGAAGGAUGAAGGUUUUCGGAUCGUAAACUUCUUUGAUGAGGGAAGAAUAAUGACGGUACCUCAAAAACAAGCCACGGCUAACUACGUGCCAGCCGCCGCAGUAAUAC
rnacentral:rRNA from 1 species